GAUUAGAUACCCUGGUAGUCCACGCCCUAAACGAUGUCGACUAGGUGUUCGGUGAGGAGACUCAUUGAGUACCGCAGCUAACGCGUGAAGUCGACCGCCUGGGGAGUACGGUCGCAAGAUUAAAACUCAAAGGAAUUGACGGGGACCCGCACAAGCGGUGGAUGAUGUGGAUUAAUUCGAUGCAACGCGAAAAACCUUACCUACCCUUGACAUGUACGGAACCCUGCUGAGAGGUGGGGGUGCUCGAAAGAGAGCCGUAACACAGGUGCUGCAUGGCUGUCGUCAGCUCGUGUCGUGAGAUGUUGGGUUAAGUCCCGCAGCGAGCGCAACCCUUGUCAUUAGUUGCUACGCAAGAGCACUCUAAUGAGACUGCCGGUGACAAACCGGAGGAAGGUGGGGAUGACGUCAAGUCCUCAUGGCCCUUAUGGGUAGGGCUUCACACGUCAUACAAUGGUCGGUACAGAGGGUUGCCAAGCCGCGAGGUGGAGCCAAUCCCAGAAAGCCGAUCGUAGUCCGGAUCGCAGUCUGCAACUCGACUGCGUGAAGUCGGAAUCGCUAGUAAUCGCGGAUCAGUAUGCCGCGGUGAAUACGUUCCCGGGUCUUGUACACACCGCCCGUCACACCAUGGGAGUGGGUUUCACCAGAAGAGGCUAGCCUAACCGUAAGGGGGGCGGUCGCCACGGUGAGAUUCAUGACUGGGGUGAAGUCGUAACAAGG
rnacentral:rRNA from 1 species